UACAGAGGUCUCAAGCGUUGUUCGGAUUCAUUGGGCGUAAAGGGUGCGUAGGCGGUGAUGCAAGUCUGGUGUGAAAUCUCGGAGCUCAACUCCGAAAUUGCACCGGAUACUGCGUGACUCGAGGACUGUAGAGGAGAUCGGAAUUCACGGUGUAGCAGUGAAAUGCGUAGAUAUCGUGAGGAAGACCAGUUGCGAAGGCGGAUCUCUGGGCAGUUCCUGACACUGAGGCACGAAGGCCAGGGGAGCAAACGGG
rnacentral:rRNA from 1 species